rnacentral:rRNA from 1 species
UACGUAGGGGGCAAGCGUUGUCCGGAUUUAUUGGGCGUAAAGCGCGUGUAGGCGGCCGUGUAGGUCCGUUGUGAAAACUCGAGGCUCAACCUCGAGACGUCGAUGGAAACCAUAUGGCUAGAGUCCGGAAGAGGAGAGUGGAAUUCCUGGUGUAGCGGUGAAAUGCGCAGAUAUCAGGAAGAACACCCGUGGCGAAGGCGGCUCUCUGGGACGGUACUGACGCUGAGACGCGAAAGCGUGGGGAGCGAACAGGAUUAGAAACCCCAGUAGUCC